GAAAUCGGGGGGCUGCCAUUCCGGUAUUGAAACCAACUGACUAUUUCUGUAAUCUGAUGUCUCUAGUACCUCGAUUACACAAAGCAAUUAGAGAGAUAUUUCGUUAAACAUCUCCAGUUAUUAGAAUGUUUCGAUCUAAAUGUUUAAUAUUGUUUAUUAUAAAAGUAACAUCGAUGUUUACGUCAUAUCAGGGAAUGCUCCGUCUUCGAUUUUACAAUGGACAGAUAAAUUAAUACGCGCCCAGUUUUAGCAGUUCCGACUGAAUUUAACGUCUGUUAUUUCUUUUGCAGAAUGCCUUGUUUCACAAAAAAGAACACUGUUCAGAUAUUUUCUCUGGACUGUCAAUUUCUGCAUUUCAUAAUCAUGUGAUACCUGUGUUGGAGCCCUCCCAAAAACCUCCCCUGUAAAAUUUCAAAGUUAAGGAGAUCAUUCAAAUGACAGAGGUUUUGGUCCAUCUUGGUUUGUCUCAAC